UACGUAGGGUGCGAGCGUUAAUCGGAAUUACUGGGCGUAAAGUGUGCGCAGGUGGCUUCGCAAGUCGAGUGUGAAAUCCCCGGGCUUAACCUGGGAAUUGCGCUCGAAACUAGCGGGCUUGAGUGUGGCAGAGGGGGGUGGAAUUCCACGUGUAGCGGUGAAAUGCGUAGAGAUGUGGAGGAACACCAGUGGCGAAGGCGGCUCUUUGGUCUGUAACUGACGCUGAGGCGCGAAAGCGUGGGAAGCAAACAGG
rnacentral:rRNA from 1 species